rnacentral:rRNA from 1 species
AUGGCCGAGAACUCCACCGCCCCGGCCACCAGCUCGGCCACCUCGCCGGCCGACUUCUCCUCGUCGUCCACCGGCGCCGGCACCACUGCCACCGCCAGCACCCACUCCCCCUUCGUCUUCGGCACCUCAUCCACGUCCGACAGCGGCUCCUCGCCCUCCACCGAAUCCCAGUUUGCCCCCCUCUUCUCCUCUCCGGUGCCCCCGCUGUCCUUCGCCGCCACCCCUUCCCAGCACCCCAUCUUCCGUGAUAGCAUCCAAAACAACAUCAAGUUUCUUCUCAACCCCGAUGAACACUACUACCACAAGUGGAAGUCGUUCUUUCUGCUCGUUUUGAUCCGCUACGGUGUUGCCCAAAUCCUCGAACACCCCCUCCCUUCCAACGCCACUGCCUUCCCGCGCGAACUCGACGCCCACCUCAUUCUGUGGAUCUACUCCACCCUUGUGGACAACCUCGUCGACCACGUCGUCGGCGCCACCACCACAUACGAUCUCUGGCAUCGCAUCCGCGACUACUUCCUGUCCACCCGUGCGGCUCGGUACAUGAUGCUGAACCGCCAAUACCGCAACCUCAAACAAGGUGAUCUUUCCAUUGCCGAAUAUGCUCGCCGCAUGAAACUUCUCACCGCUGGCCUCGCCGACAUCGACCACGCCGUCACCGAGGUGGAUCUAACCACCCAAUUCCUCCACGGCAUCGACAAAAGGCUCGACACCAUCCGCGUCGUUCUGAGGGACACCGUUCCUCUCCCACCGUUCGAAACGGUCUUCUCGCGCCUGAAGCUCGCCGAGGAGAAACUCGCUCAGCGCUUGGUGGACGAGCCCGUCCCCAUCCUCGCCGUCACCGGCAGCGGUGGCCCCUACACCUCUGGCGGCUCCUCCAACACUCGCCAGGGCGACCGCGGUGAUCGCGGCAAUGAUCGUGCGUCU